GUGCUCACUUCAGCAGCACUUAUGCUAAAAAGGAAACAAUACAGAGAAGAUUAUCAUGGCCCCUGUGCAAGGAGGACAUGCAAAUUCAUGAACCAUAUUUUU